GAUGAACGCUGACAGAAUGCUUAACACAUGCAAGUCAACUUGAACUUCGGUUUGGGUGGCGGACGGGUGAGUAACGCGUAAAGAACUUGCCUCACAGAUAGGGACAACAUUUGGAAACGAAUGCUAAUACCUGAUAUUAUGAUUUUAGGGCAUCCUAGAAUUAUGAAAGCUAUAUGCGCUGUGAGAGAGCUUUGCGUCCCAUUAGCUAGUUGGAGAGGUAACGGCUCACCAAGGCGAUGAUGGGUAGCCGGCCUGAGAGGGUGAUCGGCCACAAAGGGACUGAGACACGGCCCUUACUCCUACGGGAGGCAGCAGUGGGGAAUAUUGGACAAUGAACCAAGAGUCUGAUCCAGCAAUUCUGUGUGCACGAUGAAGUUUUUCGGAAUGUAAAGUGCUUUCAGUUGGGAAGAAAAAAAUGACGGUACCAACAGAAGAAGUGACGGCUAAAUACGUGCCAGCAGCCGCGGUAAUACGUAUGUCACAAGCGUUAUCCGGAUUUAUUGGGCGUAAAGCGCGUCUAGGUGGUUAUAUAAGUCUGAUGUGAAAAUGCAGGGCUCAACUCUGUAUUGCGUUGGAAACUGUGUAACUAGAGUACUGGAGAGGUAAGCGGAACUACAAGUGUAGAGGUGAAAUUCGUAGAUAUUUGUAGGAAUGCCGAUGGGGAAGCCAGCUUACUGGACAGAUACUGACGCUGAAGCGCGAAAGCGUGGGUAGCAAACAGG
rnacentral:rRNA from 1 species